rnacentral:rRNA from 1 species
GUGGGGAAUAUUGCACAAUGGGCGAAAGCCUGAUCUAGCCAUGCCGCGUGAGCGAUGAAGGCCUUAGGGUUGUAAAGCUCUUUCGUGGGGGAAGAUAAUGACUGUACCCCAAGAAGAAGCCCCGGCUAACUCCGUGCCAGCAGCCGCGGUAAUACGGAGGGGGCUAGCGUUGUUCGGAAUUACUGGGCGUAAAGCGCACGUAGGCGGACUGGAAAGUCAGGGGUAAAAUCCCGGGGCUCAACCCCGGAACUGCCUUUGAAACUCCCAGUCUUGAGUUCGAGAGAGGUGAGUGGAAUUCCGAGUGUAGAGGUGAAAUUCGUAGAUAUUCGGAGGAACACCAGUGGCGAAGGCGGCUCACUGGCUCGAUACUGACGCUGAGGUGCGAAAGCGUGGGGAGCAAACAGGAUUAGAAACCCCGGUAGUCC